AGAUAGACAGUCUGGGGUGGAGAGGGAAGUGAGACCCCAUGGGUGAUCUCUACAGUUAUGUAACUGUCCAGCCACAAAUCACUUAUCAAAGAACUGGAUUCAGAAGACCAAGAUCUGCAUUUGGGUCACUCCAGUUAUCUUGAGAUCUGGGACCCGUGGGGCUGGGGUGGCAGCCGAUCAUGUCAGGAGGACUCCUCUGCACAGCAUCACAAGCACAGGAGAGAAUGCUAAACUUGAUUGGGAGCUCACAGAAGACCCCUGGAACCCAGAGCAAUAAGCACCUCUCCUUCAAAGAC
rnacentral:lncRNA from 1 species